rnacentral:rRNA from 1 species
GAUGGCGAGUGGCGAACGGGUGAGUAAUACAUCGGAACGUGCCCUGUAGUGGGGGAUAACUAGUCGAAAGAUUAGCUAAUACCGCAUACGACCUGAGGGUGAAAGUGGGGGACCGCAAGGCCUCAUGCUAUAGGAGCGGCCGAUGUCUGAUUAGCUAGUUGGUGAGGUAAAGGCUCACCAAGGCGACGAUCAGUAGCUGGUCUGAGAGGACGAUCAGCCACACUGGGACUGAGACACGGCCCAGACUCCUACGGGAGGCAGCAGUAGGGAAUUUUGGACAAUGGGCGAAAGCCUGAUCCAGCAAUGCCGCGUGUGUGAAGAAGGCCUUCGGGUUGUAAAGCACUUUUGUCCGGAAAGAAAUGGCUCUGGUUAAUACCUGGGGUCGAUGACGGUACCGGAAGAAUAAGGACCGGCUAACUACGUGCCAGCAGCCGCGGUAAUACGUAGGGUCCAAGCGUUAAUCGGAAUUACUGGGCGUAAAGCGUGCGCAGGCGGUUGUGCAAGACCGAUGUGAAAUCCCCGAGCUUAACUUGGGAAUUGCAUUGGUGACUGCACGGCUAGAGUGUGUCAGAGGGGGGUAGAAUUCCACGUGUAGCAGUGAAAUGCGUAGAGAUGUGGAGGAAUACCGAUGGCGAA